GCACCAUGGAGGGCAGAGAUCCAGGGGUACUGGACACCCUCCUGGAGGGGCACAAGGCAGAGGAGGCUCCAUCCACAGGGGCUCAUGUGGCAAAAGGUUCACCCACAUUUCAGCUCUGAAAUGGAAAGCAGACGUGGCUUCUUGCUGCACCUUUAG